rnacentral:rRNA from 1 species
CAGUAGCCGCGGGAAUACGUAGGGUGCAAGCGUUAAUCGGAAUUACUGGGCGUAAAGCGUGCGCAGGCGGUUUUGUAAGACAGAGGUGAAAUCCCCGGGCUCAACCUGGGAACUGCCUUUGUGACUGCAAGGCUAGAGUACGGCAGAGGGGGAUGGAAUUCCGCGUGUAGCAGUGAAAUGCGUAGAUAUGCGGAGGAACACCGAUGGCGAAGGCAAUCCCCUGGGCCUGUACUGACGCUCAUGCACGAAAGCGUGGGUAGCAAACAGGAUUAGAUACCCCCGUAGUCCCUGUCUCUUAUAC